GUUUAAAAAAAAAUCUAUUAUGGCAGGCCCGUCCCUCUGGGUCUCUCAGUGCCCCAUGCUAGAGCAAACUGUGGUCUUGAACCAUUGCCUGGCCUCUACUCAUUGGUUGAAGGCAUUGAAGUGGGUUACACAGUG